rnacentral:rRNA from 1 species
CCGAAAACUACUGGUAUUGAUUGGUGCUUGCAUCAUGAUUUACAUUUGAGUGAGUGGCGAACUGGUGAGUAACACGUGGGAAACCUGCCCAGAAGCGGGGGAUAACACCUGGAAACAGAUGCUAAUACCGCAUAACAACUUGGACCGCAUGGUCCGAGCUUGAAAGAUGGCUUCGGCUAUCACUUUUGGAUGGUCCCGCGGCGUAUUAGCUAGAUGGUGGGGUAACGGCUCACCAUGGCAAUGAUACGUAGCCGACCUGAGAGGGUAAUCGGCCACAUUGGGACUGAGACACGGCCCAAACUCCUACGGGAGGCAGCAGUAGGGAAUCUUCCACAAUGGACGAAAGUCUGAUGGAGCAACGCCGCGUGAGUGAAGAAGGGUUUCGGCUCGUAAAACUCUGUUGUUAAAGAAGAACAUAUCUGAGAGUAACUGUUCAGGUAUUGACGGUAUUUAACCAGAAAGCCACGGCUAACUACGUGCCAGCAGCCGCGGUAAUACGUAGGUGGCAAGCGUUGUCCGGAUUUAUUGGGCGUAAAGCGAGCGCAGGCGGUUUUUUAAGUCUGAUGUGAAAGCCUUCGGCUCAACCGAAGAAGUGCAUCGGAAACUGGGAAACUUGAGUGCAGAAGAGGACAGUGGAACUCCAUGUGUAGCGGUGAAAUGCGUAGAUAUAUGGAAGAACACCAGUGGCGAAGGCGGCUGUCUGGUCUGUAACUGACGCUGAGGCUCGAAAGUAUGGGUAGCAAACAGGAUUAGAUACCCUGGUAGUCCAUACCGUAAACGAUGAAUGCUAAGUGUUGGAGGGUUUCCGCCCUUCAGUGCUGCAGCUAACGCAUUAAGCAUUCCGCCUGGGGAGUACGGCCGCAAGGCUGAAACUCAAAGGAAUUGACGGGGGCCCGCACAAGCGGUGGAGCAUGUGGUUUAAUUCGAAGCUACGCGAAGAACCUUACCAGGUCUUGACAUACUAUGCAAAUCUAAGAGAUUAGACGUUCCCUUCGGGGACAUGGAUACAGGUGGUGCAUGGUUGUCGUCAGCUCGUGUCGUGAGAUGUUGGGUUAAGUCCCGCAACGAGCGCAACCCUUAUUAUCAGUUGCCAGCAUUAAGUUGGGCACUCUGGUGAGACUGCCGGUGACAAACCGGAGGAAGGUGGGGAUGACGUCAAAUCAUCAUGCCCCUUAUGACCUGGGCUACACACGUGCUACAAUGGAUGGUACAACGAGUUGCGAACUCGCGAGAGUAAGCUAAUCUCUUAAAGCCAUUCUCAGUUCGGAUUGUAGGCUGCAACUCGCCUACAUGAAGUCGGAAUCGCUAGUAAUCGCGGAUCAGCAUGCCGCGGUGAAUACGUUCCCGGGCCUUGUACACACCGCCCGUCACUCCAUUAUAAGUUUAUGACGCCAGCACCUCGUCUGGGGUCACCAGUUUUGGUUACCCAUUCCCCCACUUUAAUAGU